rnacentral:tRNA from 1 species
GCGACACUAGCUCAGUUGGAUAGAGCGUCGGCCUCCGGAGCCGAAGGUCGCAGGUUCGACUCCUGCGUGUCGCGCCA